rnacentral:rRNA from 1 species
UUUAAGGAUUCGNCUAGCCAUGCGAGUCAUAUGUUCUUCGUGAACAUGGCGUACUGCUCAGCAACACGUGGAUAACCUGCCCUUGGGUCCGGCAUAACCCCGGGAAACUGGGGAUAAUUCCGGAUAACGCAUAUAUGCUGGAAUGCUUUCUGCGUAAAAUGGAUUCGUCUGCCCAAGGAUGGGUCUGCGGCCUAUCAGGUAGUAGUGGGUGCAAUGUACCUACUAGCCGACGACGGGUACGGGUUGUGAGAGCAAGAGCCCGGAGAUGGAUUCUGAGACAUGAAUCCAGGCCCUACGGGGCGCAGCAGGCGCGAAAACUUUACAAUGCGGGAAACCGUGAUAAGGGGACACCGAGUGCCAGCAUCAUAUGCUGGCUGUCCGGGUGUGUAAAAUACACCCGUUAGCAAGGGCCGGGCAAGACCGGUGCCAGCCGCCGCGGUAACACCGGCGGCCCGAGUGGUGAUCGUGAUUAUUGGGUCUAAAGGGUCCGUAGCCGGUUUGGUCAGUCCUCCGGGAAAUCUGAUAGCUCAACUAUUAGGCUUUCGGGGGAUACUGCCAGGCUUGGAACCGGGAGAGGUAAGAGGUACUACAGGGGUAGGAGUGAAAUCUUGUAAUCCCUGUGGGACCACCUGUGGCGAAGGCGUCUUACCAGAACGGGUUCGACGGUGAGGGACGAAAGCUGGGGGCACGAACCGGAUUAGAUACCCGGGUAGUCCCAGCCGUAAACGAUGCUCGCUAGGUGUCAGGCAUGGCGCGACCGUGUCUGGUGCCGCAGGGAAGCCGUGAAGCGAGCCACCUGGGAAGUACGGCCGCAAGGCUGAAACUUAAAGGAAUUGGCGGGGGAGCACAACAACGGGUGGAGCCUGCGGUUUAAUUGGACUCAACGCCGGACAACUCACCGGGGGCGACAGCAAUAUGUAGGCCAAGCUGAAGACUUUGCCUGA